rnacentral:rRNA from 1 species
ACGUAGGGUGCAAGCGUUAAUCGGAAUUACUGGGCGUAAAGCGUGCGCAGGCGGUUCUGCAAGUCUGAUGUGAAAGCCCCGGGCUUAACCUGGGAACGGCAUUGGAGACUGCAGAGCUAGAGUACGUCAGAGGGGGGUAGAAUUCCACGUGUAGCAGUGAAAUGCGUAGAGAUGUGGAGGAAUACCGAUGGCGAAGGCAGCCCCCUGGGAUGAUACUGACGCUCAUGCACGAAAGCGUGGGGAGCAAACAG